rnacentral:rRNA from 1 species
UACGUAGGGUGCGAGCGUUAAUCGGAAUUACUGGGCGUAAAGCGUGCGCAGGCGGUUUGGUAAGACAGAUGUGAAAUCCCCGGGCUCAACCUGGGAAUUGCAUUUGUGACUGCCCGACUAGAGUGUGUCAGAGGGGGGUAGAAUUCCACGUGUAGCAGUGAAAUGCGUAGAGAUGUGGAGGAAUACCGAUGGCGAAGGCAGCCCCCUGGGAUAACACUGACGCUCAUGCACGAAAGCGUGGGGAGCAAACAGG